rnacentral:ncRNA from 1 species
GAACGGCGUGGCAUCAUAGGCGCAAAGGCGAGCAGGGCCGAGGAAACCGGUGUGAAUCCGGUGCGGUCCCGCCACUGUGAUCGGCGAGCCGAUCCCGAAUACGCCACUGCCCGACACGGGUGGGAAGGCCGGGGGAGGCGCUUGAGCCGUCAGCCAGGAGACUCACCUGUUCGCCUCCUCGCGG